AGAAUCAACGCUGGCGGCGUGCCUAACACAUGCAAGUCGCACGAGAAAGGGACUUCGGUCCUGAGUACAGUGGCGCACGGGUGAGUAACACGUGAAUAAUCUACCUCCGAGUGGGGAAUAACUGAGAGAAAUCUUAGCUAAUACCGCAUAACACUUACGAGUCAAAGCAGCAAUGCGCUUGGAGAGGAGUUCGCGGCAGAUUAGUUAGUUGGCGGGGUAAUGGCCCACCAAGACGAUGAUCUGUAUCCGGCCUGAGAGGGCGCACGGACACACUGGAACUGAAACACGGUCCAGACUCCUACGGGAGGCAGCAGUGGGGAAUUUUUGCGCAAUGGGGGAAACCCUGACGCAGCAACGCCGCGUGGAGGAUGAAAUAUCUUGGUAUGUAAACUCCUUUCGAUGGGGAAGAUAAUGACGGUACCAUAGAAGAAGCCCCGGCUAACUUCGUGCCAGCAGCCGC
rnacentral:rRNA from 1 species